rnacentral:rRNA from 1 species
GGACCAAUUUGUUGGUCGUGCCUCGGUACGUACUGGUAUUAUUGGUUUCUCCCUUCUGAAGAACCUUGAUGUCAUUAAUUUGGUGUCUUGGGGAAUCAGGACUGUUACUUUGAAAAAAUUAGAGUGUUUAAAGCAGGCAUACGCUUGAAUACAUUAGCAUGGAAUAAUGAAAUAGGACGUUUGAUUCUAUUUUGUUGGUUUCUAGGAUCGACGUAAUGAUUAAUAGGGAUAGUUGG